UCCAGCGUGGCCCAAUGGCAGGGCACCCGGCUGUUAACCGGGGGUGUGAAGGUUCGAGUCCUUCCGCUGGAG
rnacentral:tRNA from 1 species